rnacentral:rRNA from 1 species
GAUGAACGCUAGCGGCAGGCCUAAUACAUGCAAGUCGAGGGGUAGAAGAGGCUUGCUUCUUUGAGAACGGCGCACGGGUGCGUAACGCGUAUGCAACCUACCUUCAUCUGGGGGAUAGCCCGGAGAAAUCCGGAUUGAUACCGGAUAAAAUAAGAGGAGGGAAUUAUCGAAUGAUCAAACAUUUAUGGGAUGGAGAUGGGCAUGCGUGUCAUUAGCUAGUUGGCGGGGUAACGGCCCACCAAGGCGACGAUGACUAGGGGAUCUGAGAGGAUGGCCCCCCACACUGGUACUGAGACACGGACCAGACUCCUACGGGAGGCAGCAGUAAGGAAUAUUGGUCAAUGGAGGCAACUCUGAACCAGCCAUGCCGCGUGCAGGAAGACUGCCCUAUGGGUUGUAAACUGCUUUUAUUCGGGAAUAAACCUUAUUACGUGUAAUAAGCUGAAUGUACCGAAGGAAUAAGGAUCGGCUAACUCCGUGCCAGCCGCCGCCGUAA